CUCCCUGUGUUGUGCCUCGGGAGGCGGAGGAGUGACGAGUGAGUCACUGGGGCGUUGUGUUAAUGGAAAAUGUUUUUCAAGCAGAGGGAGAUAACGUGGGAGUGCCCGGCUGAAAUCUUGCUUGGAAACAAGAUAAGAAUCGUGGGUCUGUUUCUAAGCCGUGUAUGAUUCUUGAACAAUUUUCAGGUUGAGUUGCUUUCCUGUGCUUGGGUGGUUUGUUUUUUUUGUUGUUGUUGUUGUUGUUUUGGUUUGGUUUUUUGUUUGGUUUUUUUUGUGGGUUUUCUCCAUGUUUGUUAUUUUGGCUUUUCCCUUUCUUUCCCAAAAUAGGCAGAGGACUUUUUCCUCCUCCUUUUUUAAAUCGUCUCUGUUCUGCUGGAAGAAAUUGCAUCAGAUAUUAAUCAUCUACCAUUCAGAGCUGGACUUUGACAUAGCAGUAACUGCAGGACUUUAUUGGAUGUGAAACUACAUGUGCUGGCAGAUCCACUGAGAGAUCAGUAACUCCUUCUGCUCAGCUAACGGCUUUCCUGAAAAGAAAAGCAGAUCAUUAAAGAAAAAACAAACUUGGAAGUCACGUUUUUUCAACAGCCUCCUCAAGGGGAUGGUCGUCUUUUGGGAAGGACAGGAGUGUUGGGAGGAAUGUCAGGAGGAGAGAUUGAAAGCAGAUGCAGAGGGGAAGAGAAGUGCUAAACUGCUGACACUCCUGGAGCGAGCAAAGAAGUGGAGUCACUCCCUCACUCAUUCCUGCCACCCCCAACCUGUUCCUGCACUCCAGCCUGCCCUGACUGCCUGCCCACCCCACAGGAUGCAGCUCAGGCUCUGCCAACUAAUGCUGCCUGAUCAGGAAAAGCUUUUGCCCAUGCUCUUCUCCUACGGUCCUGAUUAACAGGAAAAGAUAGAUGGAUAGAUAUAUAGAUAAAAAUUCAUAGUGCAUACACUCACGUGUUGGUUCUGAGUUAAAAACUAAUCCAUGCAGAUGAACCACCAGGAGUGAAGGAUGAACACUGGCCAAUAAACAUGAGACUGGCCAUAAAAUAAAAGAUGUCAUAUAGGAAAUGAAGUAUAAUUUGAGAAUUCAGUGAAUUCAGAUUGCUUAGAACUCCUUUUUUCUUUUUCAUAACAUUGAAAUGUCUGAGUUCCUGUAAGCAGGUUGUUUGCUCCUCCUUUUGGUUAAAUUUUGUCUAUCUUCAGAAGUGUCCUAAUACUUCAAAAAUAACACACUGUUAUUUUAUACCCACAGAUGCUGGUAAGAAGUUUAGAAAAGUAACACACAAAUAAAGUAUGCUAAAAUAAACCCAAGAAAAUUAAGCUACAUGGUGUAAAAAAGAUAAAUUUGGAUAAGCAUUACAUGGACAACCUUGAAAUGUAGAAUAUUUUCUCAAAUAACCCAAGCACACUGUAAUGCAUGAAUCUACUCUAUGUACUUGUAUAUUGCUGUCAUAUCUACAAGGAUUCUAUGUAAAAUUUCCCAUAAUAAAAUUUAUCCAAAUAA